GCCUGGCUGGCUCAGUCGGUAGAGCAUGAGACUGUCGAUCUCGGGGUCCUGUGUUCAAGCCGCACACUGGGCA
rfam:Ailuropoda melanoleuca scaffold2209_12, whole genome shotgun sequence.